rnacentral:rRNA from 1 species
CCGCAGAAUUUUAACUGUGCUAAGGUAGCAUAAUCAUUUGUUUUAUAAUAGAGAACUGGGAUGAAAGAGUUAACAACAUUUUGACUUUUUAGGUUUAUUUCUAGAAAUUGAUAUCUAUAUUAAAAAGUAUAGCUGAGCUAAAAAGACGAUAAGACCCUAUAAAACUUUACUAUGAGGAUUUAUUUAUGUAACAGGUAAUGAAAUUUCUAAAUAGUUAAGCUGGGGCGGCAAUUACAAAACUUUAAUAAAUAAAACAUAUAUUUAUGAAAUAUUAUAUCUUUUAUAGAUUUAGAGUUACUUUAGGGAUAACAGCGUAAUUUUAGAUAAUAGUUUAGUGUUAUUUAAAGACUUACGACCUCGAUGUUGAAUUGAGG